rnacentral:rRNA from 1 species
CAGUCGCCACGGGAAUACGUAGGGUGCAAGCGUUGUCCGGAAUUAUUGGGCGUAAAGAGCUCGUAGGCGGUUUGUCGCGUCUGCUGUGAAAUCCCGAGGCUCAACCUCGGGCUUGCAGUGGGUACGGGCAGACUAGAGUGCGGUAGGGGAGAUUGGAAUUCCUGGUGUAGCGGUGGAAUGCGCAGAUAUCAGGAGGAACACCGAUGGCGAAGGCAGAUCUCUGGGCCGUAACUGACGCUGAGGAGCGAAAGCAUGGGGAGCGAACAGGAUUAGAUACCCCAGUAGUCCCUGUCUCUUAUAC